AUUGAACGCUGGCGGCAGGCCUAACACAUGCAAGUCGAGCGAGCGGCGGACGGGUGAGUAAUGCCGGGGAAUUGCCCAGUCGAGGGGGAUAACAGUUGGAAACGACCACUAAUACCGCAUUCGAUUGGAUCGCCCAGGAGGGAUUAGCUAGUUGGUGAGGUAAUGGCCCACCAAGGCGACGAUCCCUUGCUGGUCUGAGAGGAUGAUCAGCCACACUGGAACUGAGACACUGCCCAGACUCCUACGGGAGGCAGCAGUGGGGAAUAUUGCACAAUGGGGGAAACCCUGAUGCAGCCAUGCCGCGUGUGUGAAGAAGUCCGUCGGGUUGUAAAGCACUUUCAGCGGGGAGGCGUUACUCGCAGAAGAAGCACCGGCUAACUCCGUGCCAGCAGCCGCGGUAAUAC
rnacentral:rRNA from 1 species